ACUGUCCCUAGGGGUAUUGUAGGUAUGGCUUCUGUGUCACAGGUGUGUCAGUAGGAGGCAGUGAGGAGAGAGGCUGUGUCUGUCUAUGUGUUCUGUCCUGUGACAUCAGAAUGAUUAGUAGCCAAACAUU
ensembl:snoRNA LOC120096810 small nucleolar RNA SNORA17